rnacentral:rRNA from 1 species
CGGGGGAGCAAGCGUUGUUCGGAUUUACUGGGCGUAAAGGGCGCGUAGGCGGCCACGCAAGUCGACUGUGAAAUCUCCGGGCUUAACCCGGAAAGGUCAGCCGAUACUGCGGGGCUAGAGUGCAGAAGGGGCAACUGGAAUUCUCGGUGUAGCGGUGAAAUGCGUAGAUAUCGAGAGGAACACCUGCGGCGAAGGCGGGUUGCUGGGCUGACACUGACGCUGAGGCGCGAAAGCUAGGGGAGCGAACGGGAUUAGAUACCCCGGUAGUCCUAGCCUUAAACGAUGAAUGCUUGGUGUCUGGGGUUUUAUAGUCCCCGGGUGCCGUCGCUAACGCUUUAAGCAUUCCGCCUGGGGAGUACGGUCGCAAGACUG